CUACGGGCGGCAGCAGUAGGGAAUAUUGCACAAUGGGCGCAAGCCUGAUGCAGCAACGCCGUGUGAGUGAAGAAGGCCUUCGGGUUGUAAAACCCUGUCCUAAGGGAAGAAACAAAUGACGGUACCUUAGGAGGAAGCCCCGGCUAACUACGUGCCAGCAGCCGCGGUAAUACGUAGGGGGCAAGCGUUAUCCGGAAUCACUGGGCGUAAAGGGUGCGUAGGCGGCCUAUCAAGUCAGAAGUGAAAGGCAUUGGCUCAACCAAUGUAAGCUUUUGAAACUGUUGGGCUUGAGUGCAGGAGAGGUAAGUGGAAUUCCUAGUGUAGAGGUGAAAUUCGUAGAUAUUAGGAGGAACACCAGUGGCGAAGGCGACUUACUGGACUGUAACUGACGCUGAGGCACGAAAGCGUGGGGAGCGAACAGGAUUAGAUACCCCGGUAGUC
rnacentral:rRNA from 1 species